rnacentral:rRNA from 1 species
CGGAACGUGCCCAGUAGUGGGGAGUAGCCGCGAAGCGGAUUAAUACCGCAUGAGGCCUGAGGGUGAAAGCGGGGGAUCGCAAGACCUCGCGCUAUUGGAGCGGCCGAUAUCAGAUUAGGUAGUUGGUGGGGUAAAGGCCUACCAAGCCGACGAUCUGUAGCUGGUCUGAGAGGACGACCAGCCACACUGGGGACUGAGACACGGCCCAGACUCCUACGGGAGGCAGCAGUGGGGAAUUUUGGACAAUGGGCGCAAGCCUGAUCCAGCCAUGCCGCGUGCGGGAAGAAGGCCUUCGGGUUGUAAACCGCUUUUGUCAGGGAAGAAAUCUUCUGGGUUAAUACCUCGGGAGGAUGACGGUACCUGAAGAAUAAGCACCGGCUAACUACGUGCCAGCAGCCGCGGUAAUACGUAGGGUGCGAGCGUUAAUCGGAAUUACUG